rnacentral:misc_RNA from 1 species
GGUUCCUGCGGAAGGAUCAUUAAUGAUUAACUGUCUGUCGAGCUUGCUCACAGACUUAUCAUAUCCAUAACACCUGUGCACUUGUCGGAUGGCUUAGUGAAGACCGCAAGGUUGGAACUAUCCAUCUACUUUACAUAACAAUUUAGUAACAAAUGUAGUCUUAUUAUAACAUAAUAAAACUUUCAACAACGGAUCUCUUGGCUCUCGCAUCGAUGAAGAACGCAGCGAAAUGCGAUAAGUAAUGUGAAUUGCAGAAUUCAGUGAAUCAUCGAAUCUUUGAACGCACCUUGCGCUCCCUGGUAUUCCGGGGAGCAUGCCUGUUUGAGUGUCAUGAAAACCCUCAACCUUAGAUUGGUUAACACCUUUCUUUGGCUUGGAUUUGGACGUUUGCCGAUGAUAAGUCGGCUCGUCUUAAAAGUAAUAGCUGGAUCUGUCUCGCGACAUGGUUUGACUUGGCGUAAUAAGUAUUUCGCUAAGGACAUCUUCGGAUGGCCGCGUUGCAAGACUAAAGACCGCUUUCUAAUCCAUUGAUCUUCGGAUUAAUAUUCUUGACAUCUGGCCUCAAAUCAGGUAGGACUACCCGCUGAACUUAAGCAUAUCAAAACGCGGGGGG